rnacentral:misc_RNA from 1 species
GGUGUCUUGGAGUGCUGAUCGGACACC